rnacentral:tRNA from 1 species
GCCGCCGUAGCUCAGGGGUAGAGCACUUCCUUGGUAAGGAAGGGGUCGACAGUUCAAAUCUGUCCGGCGGCU